UUAGAGUCCAUUGUGAGUUUUAUCGGCAGACCGAUAAAACUUUCCAAGUGGCCAAGAUUGCCAAACUACUGUUUGCGAUGGAACGUGGGACAGAGUCGCUGAAGGGAAAGAGUCUGCAAACCCUGGACUCUGUUAUCACUGGAAGAGCACAUGCAGCCACCUCAACCAAAGGUCUGAAAAGUGGCAAAAAGAGAAGACCAGAUCCAGGGAGACGACAGGAAGCUCAAGAUGAAUGAGAAGUGCCACAUUCAGCUGUAGCAACGAGAUCUGAUGAUGAAGAUGAUGGAGGCGGUAACAGUACCAACUUGGACACUGAAAAC